UGCACCCGCCAAUGAGCUGCGCAGCCAGCAGAACAGGAAACAACCAUCGGAUGCUCUUGAAGUAUUCCAGAGGAAGGUCGGGAGAAUAGUGAGGCACUUUGCUACGUUUCCCCCUAAGGCCUUCUGGUAUUUUUAUUAUUAAUCCUCCCUUUUCCCGGAGCAGUCCGGUCUGCCCAGCCCUUCUCCUUCUGGUCAUUUAUUCAUUCUAGAAACGCUUACUUCGCAACUGGGCAAGCCACUUAACCUCUGCCGGUAUAAUCUCUCAGGAUUAUAAACGGCAAGAAAAAAAGAGCGCGUUUUCUCUGCCUUGAAAAUCGGACCGAAUUGCGAACUGUUAGAAACAUCUACAAGAUCACAAAUUGCCCAGACGGGUGUGGCUUGCAGCUCUUCAACGUCGGCUCCCCACACUAACAAAACGAGAGACCUAGUUCCUAGCGGCAUUGAAUUUGGCUCCAGCGGCAGCUGCAGCCAAUGCCACCAACUGAGAGCUCCUGUUUGAAUUCUGGCGCCACUCCCCGAGCCAAGCAGGGCCCGGCCCGACAGUGUGAGCCUGAGGAAAAAGCACACCCAACUUGCCAGGACUAGGCGAGCGGCGCGCUUCCCCACCCCCAAGAAGGCCGUCGCGUCUGGAUCGUCAGUCCGUGCGUGCGCGCACCCAAGGCGCCCCGGAAGGACAGAGGAUCGGCACACGCUGAAACUCGGAGUUCCCAAACUACUCGGCACGCCCUAUUCAUAUCAGCUAGAGUACCCGCCCCUUCUCUCCCCGCCCAUCGCCUCUCCUCCGUCCAAUGGCAAGUGAAGGGGCGGAGCAAGCCUCAUUUUGAUUACGCAAAGGCUAUAUAAGGAACUGCUCUAAAGGGUUUGAAUCCUUUUCGGCUCGGCUGGCUGCGGUUGCGUUCUCAGCUGAGGAAACUUUGGGGAAGCUCGGACGGCUAUCAGUGACAACUUUAGGGGUGACGAUUUGGGGGUUAUCUGCAGUAUUCGGAGGAACGGUAAAAUCGGGGAGACUUUGAAUUUAGGCUUCCUUUAAGGGGUUGCAAGAAGAGAGUAAAAAAACAAAAAUCUCCUUCGGGGACCCUCAAAAGCGAGAAUUGGGGAUUGGGGGGAUGGGUCAGAGGAUUUGGGAUGACGGCCAGUUAUCCGUUGACGUCCUUUACUGGCGGGCCAGGAAACUACAAAUCCUAGAGUUCCAGACGGCCUAAAACCGCCAUCCGCGCGGGACCACGCAAUGCAUUGUGGGAGGCCGGGGGAGGAGCGUUCUCGACCGCGUGGAGGCAAAAAGCAAAGCGUGGCUUUGGCGGGCCUUUCCGGUAGGGGAGCUGAAAGGGGUCCCAGAAGAGGUAGCUCCUCCUCCCUAGUUUUUGUCUUAUUUAUUAAAGCUUUUUUUAGAGUGACAGUUUUAAACUGUUGUGAAAAGGAGGUCGUAGGGAAAAUGGCGAUUGCCCUGUUUAGUUUCCCCCACCCCCGCUUGAGUCGGAUGCUAAUUGAUCCCUGGAACGCUACACUGAGGAUGCGUGGCUUAUAAGCCAAAAGCUUUAGCUUCCAAAGAGCACCUGGAUAAUUUCUUUGUGCUGGCAGUGCAAAAUGAUCUCUACGUGGUAUCGCGUUUUGAACAAUGGCAAAAGCUGAUUAUUCAGGAUUGUUUUACAGGAACCAUCAGACGCAAAUGAAAACAUCAAGGCAUCGGGAUGGAUAUUCUGCUAACAUUUAUGUGUUCAUAAAUACUUGAAAGGAGGAACCAGGACAAGCAUCUGAAUUUUUUUUGAUCAAAGCCAAAGAUCUUGGUGGCUGUUGACUGUUCAUGGCUUCAGUUUGAGGGCCAUUGAACAUACAAGAUUGAGCGACUCUUAAUUGCCAUAUGCCAAAGGAUAUGGAAUCCUUGCAUCUGCAUCAUGAGACGUGUGGAUGGUGAUUGAAAAGAACAAAGAAAACUGAAAAUGCUUUUUACAUCAUUCUGGAAAUUUCAAGACGUGAAAUUUUUGUGCAUUUACAUUAGUUUUGGAUUGUGUUUAGAUUACUAAAACUAGUUUUGAUAAACUUGUUUAUGGCUUUGAAAUCAUGAAAUUUAUAAAUGUGUUAUACUUGACUGUAGCUACCUCAAAAUAAAAUAUAAUGUCCAAAACAAGUGAAUCAAACCUUUAAAAA